rnacentral:rRNA from 1 species
UACGUAGGGUGCGAGCGUUAAUCGGAAUUACUGGGCGAAAAGCGUACGCAGGCGGCUGCGCAAGACAGAUGUGAAAUCCCCGGGCCUAACCUGGGAACUGCAUUUGUGACUGCGCAGCUCGAGUCCGGCAGAGGGGGGUGGAAUUCCACGUGCAGCAGUGAAAUGCGUAGAGAUGUGGAGGAACACCGAUGGCGAAGGCAGCCCCCUGGGAUGAGACUGAUGCUCAGGUACGAACGCGUGGGGAGCACACAGG